rnacentral:rRNA from 1 species
AACGCUGGCGGCAUGCCUUACACAUGCAAGUCGAACGGCAGCACGGGAGCUUGCUCCUGGUGGCGAGUGGCGAACGGGUGAGUAAUAUAUCGGAACGUACCCUAGAGUGGGGGAUAACGCAGCGAAAGUUGCGCUAAUACCGCAUACGAUCUACGGAUGAAAGUGGGGGGAUCGCAAGACCUCAUGCUCAUGGAGCGGCCGAUAUCUGAUUAGCUAGUUGGUGAGGUAAAGGCUCACCAAGCCGACGAUCUGUAGCUGGUCUGAGAGGACGACCAGCCACACUGGGACUGAGACACGGCCCAGACUCCUACGGGAGGCAGCAGUGGGGAAUUUUGGACAAUGGGCGCAAGCCUGAUCCAGCAAUGCCGCGUGCAGGAUGAAGGCCUUCGGGUUGUAAACUGCUUUGUACGGAACGAAACGGUGAGCUCUAAUACAGUUUGCUAAUGACGGUACCGUAAGAAUAAGCACCGGCUAACUACGUG